CUAGGUCAUCUGCAAAUGCUCUCAGCUUGUACUGUUUAGCUCCAACCUGUAUGCCCUUAACCAACCGGUCCUUUCUAAUCAUAUUUAGCAAAACCUCCAGGACCGAUUGCCAGAGUAAUCUCACCACAGGGGCUGUCCUCGUCUCCCUCAUGCACCAGAGUCCAGCAGAGGAGAGGCGUGGCGCUGCCACCACUCCUUCUUCUCCCCAUCACUUCUGUCCCCAACAUGAUAUCCUGGGUCCAGAACUAAGAAUGCUGGCAGGUAUGGCUAUAUCUUUCUUUUUCCUUUCUCCUUAUGUGUUGGAACCCCUAUUUGGGGACUUCUCUGGCUUUAUUUUUCUGGCCCAUGUAGGACCAGUCUGGAUAGUUAGCCUUGGUGAAGACUUGACGUUUUUAUCCCCCCAAAAAGUUUUUGAUUGAGUUUCCACUGAAAUGAGGCUGCAUUCUAAUGUUUUAAUGUUGUAUUUUAACCUUGUUUUUUAAGCUGUAUUUCAAUCAAUUGUUUUUAUAUUUGGUUUUAGCCACCCUGAGCCCGGUCUUGGCUGGGGAGGGUGGGGUAUAAAUAAAAUUAUUAAUUAUUAUUAUUAUUAUUAUUAUUAUAGCAGUAGCUUACACAGGCCAACACUGUCUUAAAAUGCCAGAAACCUCAUUAACUUGCUCCAUAUCCCGCCCUCAUUUAAAUGCAGUCUUCUCCACCUCUCUCUCGUACACAUACACAGAUAGUCGAUAUUAAGAAGUGUAUGAAAGCAUAUAUUUUUUAAUUCUCUUUCUCUCCCUCUCUCUUUGUUGCUACAAAUUUAGACUACCUUCUGCGAGGAAAAGUCUCUGGACGAUUCACCUAGAAUUCCAGCUCCUCUGUACCAGUUCCCCACAGCAUGCAGGAAAGGUUGCUGUGACAGAUGUUUAGAGGAAUAAUUGCUACAGCGGUUCCUGCUCAAGCUUCAGAUAUGAGACAGCAGUGGGGGCAGGGAGGGUUGGUGUGCUGUUGUGCACACACCAGUGUGUGAGAGGGAACCAUGACUCUCCAGUCCCUUUACCUGAACAAAGCUUAUGCAAUCCAGACUGUUAAUCGCUGCACACAGAAGCUGCCAUUGUCCUUACAAUAGCAGGAUGACUUCAUAUUGAUCAAGCACCACAAAGAUGGGGGGCCCGAGAUCUCAUGUCACCCAUACCUGACUUCAGAACUUGAGCCCUUUUGGCAGACGGAUUCACAAAGUAGGGAUGGGAGAAUCUCAUGAUUUCAGUUUCUCUCAAUUUCUCAUUUUUCCAAAGUCCUGUUCUCCACAUUUCCACAUCAAACUGCGAAGGC